rnacentral:rRNA from 1 species
GACAGCAGCAGCCGCGGUAAUACGAAGGGGGCUAGCGUUGCUCGGAAUCACUGGGCGUAAAGGGUGCGUAGGCGGGUCUUUAAGUCAGGGGUGAAAUCCUGGAGCUCAACUCCAGAACUGCCUUUGAUACUGAAGAUCUUGAGUUCGGGAGAGGUGAGUGGAACUGCGAGUGUAGAGGUGAAAUUCGUAGAUAUUCGCAAGAACACCAGUGGCGAAGGCGGCUCACUGGCCCGAUACUGACGCUGAGGCACGAAAGCGUGGGGAGCAAACAGGAUUAGAUACCCCUGUAGUCCCUGUCUCUUAUAC